rnacentral:rRNA from 1 species
AGAACGAACGCUGGCGGCAGGCUUAACACAUGCAAGUCGAGCGCCCCGCAAGGGGAGCGGCAGACGGGUGAGUAACGCGUGGGAACAUACCCUCCGGUUCGGAAUAGCUCAGGGAAACUUGGAUUAAUACCGGAUACGGCCUAGCGGCGAAAGAUUGAUCGCCGGAGGAUUGGCCCGCGUCUGAUUAGCUAGUUGGUGGGGUAAUGGCCCACCAAGGCGACGAUCAGUAGCUGGUCUGAGAGGAUGAUCAGCCACAUUGGGACUGAGACACGGCCCAAACUCCUACGGGAGGCAGCAGUGGGGAAUAUGGACAAUGGGCGCAAGCCUGAUCCAGCCAUGCCGCGUGAGUGAUGACGGCCUUAGGGUUGUAAAGCUCUUUCGCUAGGGACGAUAAUGACGGUACCUAGACAAGAAGCCCCGGCUAACUUCGUGCCAGCAGCCGC